rnacentral:rRNA from 1 species
AUUGAACGCUGGCGGCAGGCCUAACACAUGCAAGUCGAGCGGCAGCGGAAAGUAGCUUGCUACUUUGCCGGCGAGCGGCGGACGGGUGAGUAAUGUCUGGGAAACUGCCUGAUGGAGGGGGAUAACUACUGGAAACGGUAGCUAAUACCGCAUAACGUCGCAAGACCAAAGAGGGGGACCUUCGGGCCUCUUGCCAUCAGAUGUGCCCAGAUGGGAUUAGCUAGUAGGUGGGGUAACGGCUCACCUAGGCGACGAUCCCUAGCUGGUCUGAGAGGAUGACCAGCCACACUGGAACUGAGACACGGUCCAGACUACUACGGGAGGCAGCAGUGGGGAAUAUUGCACAAUGGGCGCAAGCCUGAUGCAGCCAUGCCGCGUGUAAGAAGAAGGCCUUCGGGUUGUAAAGUACUUUCAGCGGGGAGGAAGGUGUUGAGGUUAAUAACCUCAGCAAUUGACGUUACCCGCAGAAGAAGCACCGGCUAACUCCGUGCCAGCCGCCGCCGUAAAAC